rnacentral:rRNA from 1 species
AAAGUUGCUGCGGUUAAAAAGCUCGUAGUUGGAUCUCAGCUCUGGACCAGCGGUCCGUCCCAGAGACGGGCUCGCCGGGUGUGCGAACACUCGGCCCAGGGCUUCACGUCUGUCGGCCACGCGCGGGGUGCCCUUCGCCGGGUGUCCCUCGCGGCUGGCGAUUUCACUUUGAAAAAAUUUGAGUGCUCAAAGCAGGCAAAGCAUGCCUAACCGCCCGAAAAGCCUCGCAUGGAAUGAUGGAAUAGGACUUCGGUUCUGCUUUCCGUCGGUUUACUGAACCCGAGGUAAUGAUUAAAGGGGACGGUCGGGGGCAUCCGUAUUGCAACGCUAGA